CUGGGUCAGGAAGUCCAAACAAGAUGUCCUGAACUGGGACAGCUUGUAACAACCCUUUUGGGUUAUAGCACCACUAGGGGGGGUUGCCCUACUAUUGUAGUAGUUGUGGGAGUCUCCUGGUGGGUGGGUGUUGUUAGCGGCAGCCAUUCUAUGCUGCUCAUGUUCUUUCCUCUGUAAGGAAACCUUACCGUUGUGACCAACUGGCGACGGCGACUACCAUGUAUGUACGGACAGAGUAGAGCCGUGGAGACCUGGCUUAUGAGGUGUAAUGUUGCCACACCAAAUAAAGGUCUGUUAUUGGAUUUAACCGACUGGCUUCGGGUUAUUCGGCUAACCUCCACACCCCAUGCCCGCUGGACCUGCUAGCCGCUCCCGCCUCGCCAGACUGCUGUUACAAAGUGGCGCCCGAACAUUGUUCUCUGGAUCUUCAUCGUCAUCCGGACCGACAGACGGUGGGCUCGGAUAUUUUUCCCGUGUUUUUCAACGAUCGACACUUCGGCUGAGGUGGCGUGUUUUUUUUUCUCUUCGUCUGGCUGUAUUGGCCGGGCCGAUAGGACGCCGUGAAGGAGCCGACUCCCCGCGAUUUCAACUAUUUACAGGCACGGAGGAACACCGACUCAUCGCUUGACACGCUCGCCCGCCGAAGGAGAGUACUCCGUGAGUAACUGUACGGUCCGUCGGGCCACCAACGCAGUGCUAUUGGACCGUUACGACAUCGGCGGCGCUAAAGCUAAGGCUAACGCUACAGUGACCUUGACUCAGUGUUCAUUCAGAGGGACGUGUUGUCUUGUGUGACACAUUGAAGCAUCAGAGUGUGCAUGGACGCUCUCUGUCUUACUGAUAUUAACGCUUAGGUACUGUGUCUGAACGCUCUUUCACUUCGCUAUAACUUUUGUGAGAGAGAGUUGUUUCCACACUUAAAAUGGCGUCCCGCGCGGACACGGGGAGUGAGGAAGAUGGCUGUGACCCGGAUGCUGAGGCGCCUGGCCUUACAAAGUACAUCAUCCCUCACUCUACGCCUCUUGACCUCAACCUUGCAGUGGGAAACUUGGAAGGAGAUGUCGAGAAGCCACGAAUUUGCUUACAGGAUUCACUGGAGCCACAAAGGAGCCUACUGGAGCCACAAAGGAGCCUGCUGGAGUGUUUGGAUCAUGGAGCUAGGGGAGAGCCGGGAGAGUGGCCAUCUCCCCAACAAACCCCGCCGGUGCCCCGUAAUGACCGCUGGUUGGACGGGUACCAGGUGGACUAACCGUUAUCAUACGGACAGACUCAAUGUUGACUGAGGGUUGGUUUCAUACAUGAAUGUGAGCAGAUAGGAGGGUGGACUGGACGGAGAAGAUUUGAAUGGAGCAUCACAUUGGGGUGCUGGGAGAAGAGAGCCAUCAUAAUGUUCAGUUAUUGUCACAGUAUAUAAGCCCAUGUACAGCCAGUUUCAGGGUUAUACUUGGUGUGAGGCAGGCUGUUGUAUUACACUGGGGUCCGGUGCUGUAAACUUGUAAUUUCAACUGCUAAAGUAAAUUAAAUCUUUUUAAGCUACAGAGAUUUCUCCUGAAUUCCUUCUGCUGUUUGCUGCUGUUCGGUAUAUUUUGGUUAGAGCCUGAUGAAACUUGCAGUUUUGGAAUCUGUGCUUUCAGAGUAAUUGUUUGUCCAUGAAUGCUGUCGGCCGAACGG
ensembl:lncRNA